UCCGAAGUAGCUCAGUGGUAGAGCACCGCACUGUUAAUGCGAUGGUCGUAGGUUCGAGUCCCACCUUCGGAGCCA
rnacentral:tRNA from 1 species